CUAGAUCUUGCGCUCCUAAAUGAAUUUGAUCUACUGUCUAACGACAACCUUGGUGUCUCUUUCAACUUGGCGCCUGUUUUUCUCGCCUCUCUCUCAUCAUAAGAGAACCGAGGACUGUCUUUCAGCUUCACUACUCUGCGUCCUUCGCUCCAUUCAUUAGAAUUCCGAGAUGGUGAUGAUUCUUUGAGAAGAGACACAUUAGCUCUGGCUGAUUUAGGCUGCUGAGACAAGUUUUCUUCUUCAUCUCUGGUUCUUGUCUCCUUAUGAAUGGAGCUUCUCACAAGCUCUCUUAAAUCACUCGGCAUCAUUAAACCGCCCAACCUUGGCGACCCGUAGAUGAGAAGCUCGAGGAGCAUGGUGAAGAAGAAAAUGACAGCCUCGAGGACGAUUCAGAGGAGGCUCCCCUCUGUUUCUCCUUUGCAGCCUUCUUCUUCUUCUUACUCUUCUCCUGCAAUUCCAGUUAAAAUCAUUUUUUAGAUCCAUUUUCUUCCGUGGAAAUUAUCAUAUCUCUGCUGGAUACAGAUUCUUACCGUUUCCUUGCUGUCCGUUGAAAUAUUGGUUUUAAUGGAUAUGAUGACAUUGCAAGGAAAGCCUUAAGACAGAGAAGGGAGAGAAAUGUUACAUGAAGGCAGAGACUUGAGCU